GACGAACGCUGGCGGCGUGCUUAACACAUGCAAGUCGAACGGAAAGGCCCUGCUUUUGUGGGGUGCUCGAGUGGCGAACGGGUGAGUAACACGUGAGUAACCUGCCCUUGACUUUGGGAUAACUUCAGGAAACUGGGGCUAAUACCGGAUAGGAGCUCCUGCUGCAUGGUGGGGGUUGGAAAGUUUCGCGGUUGGGGAUGGACUCGCGGCUUAUCAGCUUGUUGGUGGGGUAGUGGCUUACCAAGGCUUUGGCGGGUAGCCGGCCUGAGAGGGUGACCGGCCACAUUGGGACUGAGAUACGGCCCAGACUCCUACGGGAGGCAGCAGUGGGGAAUAUUGCACAAUGGGCGGAAGCCUGAUGCAGCAACGCCGCGUGCGGGAUGACGGCCUUCGGGUUGUAAACCGCUUUCGCCUGUGACGAAGCGUGAGUGACGGUAAUGGGUAAAGAAGCACCGGCUAACUACGUG
rnacentral:rRNA from 1 species